rnacentral:rRNA from 1 species
CCUACGGGUGGCUGCAGUGGGGAAUAUUGCACAAUGGGCGGAAGCCUGAUGCAGCAACGCCGCGUGAGCGAUGAAGGUCUUCUGGUCGUAAAGCUCUGUCCUCAAGGAAGAUAAUCACGGUACGUGUGCACGCAGCCCCGGCUCCCUCCGUGCCAGCAGCCGCGGUCAUACGUAGGGGGCUAGCGUUAACCGGAAUUACUGGGCGUAAAGGGUGCGUAGGUGGUUUCUUAAGUCAGAGGUGAAAGGCUAGGGCUCAACCGUAGUAAGCCGUUGAACCUGGGGAACUUGAGUGCAGGAGAGGAGAGUGGAAUGCCUGGUGUAGCGGUGAAAUGCGUAGAUAUCAGGAGGAACACCAGUUGCGAAGGCGGCUCGCUGGAGUGUAACUGACACUGAGGCACGAAAGCGUGGGGAGCAAACAGGAUUAGAUACCCUAGUAGUC